CAGCCGCCACGGGAAUACGUAGGUGGCAAGCGUUGUCCGGAAUUAUUGGGCGUAAAGGGCUCGCAGGCGGUUUCUUAAGUCUGAUGUGAAAGCCCCCGGCUCAACCGGGGAGGGUCAUUGGAAACUGGGAAACUUGAGUGCAGAAGAGGAGAGUGGAAUUCCACGUGUAGCGGUGAAGUGCGUAGAGAUGUGGAGGAACACCAGUGGCGAAGGCGACUCUCUGGUCUGUAACUGACGCUGAGGAGCGAAAGCGUGGGGAGCGAACAGGAUUAGAUACCCGAGUAGUCCCUGUCUCUUAUAA
rnacentral:rRNA from 1 species